rfam:Taeniopygia guttata chromosome 1A, whole genome shotgun sequence.
AUGACUGAUUUCUUUUGGUGUUCAGAGUCAAUAAUAAUUUCUAGCACCAUUUGAAAUCGGUUAU